GCCUGGGUGGCUCAGUCGGUUGGGCGUCUGACUUCAGCUCAGGUCAUGAUCUCACGGUUCAUGGGUUCGAGACCCGCCUUGGGCU
rnacentral:tRNA from 1 species